rnacentral:lncRNA from 9 species
GCGGAGGCCGGGGCCCGUCGUGAUCCGGAGGAGAGCGGGGACGAGCCUCGGGGGGCCGCUUCAAGCCGCGGUGGAGGCCGCUCUGCGGGGAAAAAGCCAUGAGAUGUUACCUAAAGUCAACGCCAUCUGGACUAAACCUUUACCUUAAAGGAUAGUGAAAGCUUGGACUCUGAACUCAGGGACCUAGAGGAACAGAAUCCCGAGACGAUGGUUUUCAAAGACAUCCUAUCUGCAGCCUCGCACCUUGCUCCUCCACGCCUACACGAAGCGGCUUCUUCCUCCUUCUCAGCUGGAGAUGCGGGAGAGACAUCAGAGUGCAUCUUACUUGUGCGUCUUCUGUGAUGGGAGCGUGUCGAUGAUCUGAACAAACGCCGUCUAAAUGCACUGCUGCCUUGUGUCUCGGAGUCCCUCGCCCGCUCUCAGAGCACAGGGUGUGCGCACACACAGCCCCCACGCCUCGGGUUAGGACGUGACCCUGCCCAGUAGACGGAGACCCUUUAUCACAGUCAUUUCCGCCUGGGAAUGGUACUGACCACAAAGGGUGCAGGGAAAUCUUCGCGUCUUUUUUU